rnacentral:rRNA from 1 species
UUGUUGGUAAGGUAAAAGCUUACCAAGGCUUCGAUCAGUAGCUGGUCUGAGAGGACGGCCAGCCACACUGGGACUGAGACACGGCCCAGACUCCUACGGGAGGCAGCAGUGGGGAAUUUUGGACAAUGGGGGCAACCCUGAUCCAGCCAUGCCGCGUGAGUGAAGAAGGCCUUCGGGUUGUAAAGCUCUUUCAGCCGGAACGAAACGGUUACGGUUAAUACCCGUGACUACUGACGGUACCGGAAGAAGAAGCACCGGCUAACUACGUGCCAGCAGCCGCGGCAAUACGUAGGGUGCGAGCGUUAAUCGGAAUUACUGGGCGUAAAGCGUGCGCAGGUGGUUUUGUAAGUCAGGUGUGAAAGCCCCGGGCUCAACCUGGGAACUGCGUUUGAAACUACAAGACUAGAGUGUGGCAGAGGGGGGUGGAAUUCCGCGUGUAGCAGUGAAAUGCGUAGAGAUGUGGAGGAACACCGAUGGCGAAGGCAGCCCCCUGGGUCAACACUGACGCUCAGGCACGAAAGCAUGGGGAGCAAACAGGAUUAGAUACCCUGGUAGUCCAUGCCCUAAACGAUGUCAACUAGUUGUCGGGCCUUUACGGGCUUGGUAACGUAGCUAACGCGUGAAGUUGACCGCCUGGGGAGUACGAUCGCAAGAUUAAAACUCAAAUGAAUUGACGGGGACCCGCGCAAGCGGUGGAUUAUGUGGAUUAAUUCGAUGCAACGCGAAAAACCUUACCUACCCUUGACAUGUAUCGAAGCCCGCAGAAAAGCGGGGGUGCCCGAAAGGGAACGAUAACACAGGUGCUGCAUGGCUGUCGUCAGCUCGUGUCGUGAGAUGUUGGGUUAAGUCCCGCAACGAGCGCAACCCUUGUCAUUAAUUGCCAUCAUUUAGUUGGGCACUUUAAUGAGACUGCCGG